CCAAGGAGUCUAACAUGUGCGCGAGUCACAGGGUCUAUCGAAACCCGAAGGCGCAAUGAAAGUAAAGGGGGAGCUUGCCUCCCCCGCGAAGGCAAGAUCCCGUGCUUCGGCGCGGGCGCACUGCCGGCCCGUCUCUAUGCGGCAUCGUCCGCGAGGCGGAGCAAGAGCGCACACGUUGGGACCCGAAAGAUGGUGAACUAUGCCUGAGUAGGACGAAGUCAGGGGAAACUCUGAUGGAGGUCCGUAGCGAUUCUGACGUGCAAAUCGAUCGUCGAACUUUGGUAUAGGGGCGAAAGACUAAUCGAACCAUCUA
rnacentral:rRNA from 1 species